rnacentral:misc_RNA from 1 species
ACCCUUGUGGAGGAGGACGCCGAAGGUGGGGCUAAUGACUGGGGUGAAGUCGUAACAAGGUAGCCGUACCGGAAGGUGCGGCUGGAUCACCUCCUAACAGGGAGACAACAAAAUGUUUAAUAUUAUUAUUUUGUCACCUUAGGUCGAUCGGUAUCUCACGUUCUUAAUUCAUUAAGGAUUUCAUUUCCUAAGUUUUUCUAGGUCACACCCAUUAUUUUUCCUGGGCCAUUAGCUCAGGUGGUUAGAGCGCACCCCUGAUAAGGGUGAGGUCCCUGGUUCAAGUCCAGGAUGGCCCAUAUCUCUAUGUUGGGGGUAUAGCUCAGCUGGUAGAGCGCCUGCUUUGCAAGCAGGAUGUCAGCGGUUCGAGUCCGCUUACCUCCACUGAUUACCACCUCUUACAUGAAUAUGUUGAAAGGAAAUGUUUUGAGUUGUGAUCAAAUUUCUGAACGAUUCUAGCUUCCUAAUGAAACCAUUAAGAUGCUGGACUCAUUGAAUUAAUUUCAUUGUUUUCAGAGAACCUUGACAACUGCAUAGAUUAUUUUUAAAGACAAUAAGCAUCUUUAUGAUGCAGAUUUAUUAUUUGUGCUAAUGCAUUAAUAACAAUUCUAUUAAGCUGAUGCUUCAAUUAUUGAAGUUAUUGGUCAAGCUACAAAGGGCUCACGGAGGAUACCUAGGCACACAGAGGC